GUGCCAGCAGCCGCGGUAAUUCCAGCUCCAAUAGCGUAUAUUAAAGUUGUUGUGGUUAAAAGGCUCGUAGUUGAACCUUGGGCCUGGCUGGCCGGUCCGCCUCACCGCGUGCACUGGUCCGGCCGGGCCUUUCCCUCUGUGGAACCCCAUACCCUUCACUGGGCGUGGCGGGGAAACAGGACAUUUACUUUGAAAAAAUUAGAGUGCUCCAGGCAGGCCUAUGCUCGAAUACAUUAGCAUGGAAUAAUAAAAUAGGACGCGCGGUUCUAUUUUGUUGGUUUAUAGGACCGCCGUAAUGAUUAAUAGGGACAGUCGGGGGCAUCAGUACUCAACUGUCAGAGGUGAAAUUCUUGGAUCAGUUGAAGACUAACUACUGCGAAAGCAUUUGCCAAGGAUGUUUUCAUUAAUCAGGAACGGAAGUUAGGGGAUCGAAGACGAUCAGAUACCGUCGUAGUCUUAACCAUAAACUAUGCCGACUAGGGAUCGGACGGUGUUAUUCAUGACCCGUUCGGCACCUUACGAGAAAUCAAAGUGCUUGGGCUCCAGGGGGAGUAUGGUCGCAAGGCUGAAAACUUAAAGAAAUUGACGGGAGGGGCACCACCAGGGGUGGGAGCCCUGCGGCUUUAAUUUUGACUCAACACGGGGAAACUCACCAGGGCCCAGACACAAUAAGGAUUGACAGAUUGAGAGCUCUUUCUUGAUUUUGUGGGGUGGUGGUGCAUGGGCCGUUCUUAGUUGGGUGGGUGUGACUUUGUCUGCUUAAUUUGCGAUAAACAGACGAGAACUUUAACCUGGCUAGAUAGGCCGCGCAUUGCUCCGGGCAGGGCGCGCUGGCGUUUCUGAAGAGGGAUUUCCGGCUCCAAAG
rnacentral:rRNA from 1 species